GGGUAAGGGGAGGGAGAGAGAGAAGGGAGCCCUUCGGUGAUGAAAUCAGUACAUACAUGGGUUUUCUUCUUUGCUCUAAGUUGCUGCCUCUGAUGAUGUCAGCACAGAAGGGUGCAGUGUAGCCCUAAGCUCCUGAUAGGUUGCCUCCCAUCACUCAUGCACCAAGCUGGGAGGGAAAUCCAGGGCAGUGACUUGCCUUCUGAAACAUCCCUACCUUCUAAAGACUUGCAAUGGUUGCCUGGAGGGCUUUCACUUGGAUAGAUCCUUUCCUACUGCCACUCCAGAGUUAUGUCUGUCCUUGAUCUUGGGGUGAGGCAUUAGGUCUAGUCACAGAGUCUAGACUUGUGUUUCCAUAUUGAUGUGCAUGGGUGGGUAGGUGAGGGUCUAGAAUGGAAAUGUUUAGUGAGGCCUAGAGGGAAGGGUCUUCUUUCAAGAGCAUUCAUAUUUGGGAUAUAUCUCCCCCCUCCACCCCCAUCUAAAUUCUUAGUUUCUUUGAAUGGAUUUUUUUCUGACAACACUCACCGACCGCCUGGCCAUGCUGUCCUAUCUUCUGUCUUUUAGAGCUCCUCUCAAGUCCCAAAUUUACCAGUUACCUUAUGUUCCUUUGGUAAGUAUGAUGUUAAAAUGGGUAAUGUGAAGUAUAUAUGUGAAGUUAUAGUGGCUCCUUUCUCAUCUGUUUAGGAAUAAAGAAUCAUAAAUUUUCCGUUUUGAAAACAAAAUGAAGAACCCCCUGGAACUUCCGUCCUGUCCACCUGACCUGUUCUGCUGCUUCAGGGGUGGCACUGUGGACCAGCAGUGAUGGUUGUCCAAGACUGGAGAGCACAUGUGUGAGCAGGACACGCAGGAUUGAGUCAGAACAUCCACUGUUACAAGGCCCUGGAAGACCCGUGGGCACUAGUUAAGGUCACAGCAUGCUGUGAGGAAAACCUCCUGUUGACACAAAAGCAGCAAUCCAGGAGAACUUUAUGGAGCAAGCGUUGAAGUCUGCAUGCCACGGGACACAUUUCUACUGUGGAGAGCAUCUGUUGUGUACUGCAUGGAAACAUCUCCUGUCCAUAGAAGCUGAUGGCCUAUUAGCUGGGGCAGGAAGGAAUAGGAGGUGGAGUUCCAGCAGGGAGGACUAGAAUAAACGGGUUGUUUGAGUUACAAGUUUUUAA